GCAGGGGAUCGCAAGACCUUGCGCUGAUUGAGCGGCCGAUAUCAGAUUAGCUUGUUGGUGAGGUAAAAGCCCACCAAGGCGACGAUCUGUAGCGGGUCUGAGAGGAUGAUCCGCCACACUGGAACUGAGACACGGUCCAGACUCCUACGGGAGGCAGCAGUGGGGAAUUUUGGACAAUGGGGGCAACCCUGAUCCAGCCAUGCCGCGUGAGUGAAGAAGGCCUUCGGGUUGUAAAGCUCUUUCAGCCGGGAAGAAAACGCAUGGGUUAAUACCCUGUGUGGAUGACGGUACCGGAAUAAGAAGCACCGGCUAACUACGUGCCAGCAGCCACGGUAAUACGUAGGGUGCGAGCGUUAAUCGGAAUUACUGGGCGUAAAGCGUGCGCAGGCGGUUUUGUAAGACAGGCGUGAAAUCCCCGGGCUUAACCUGGGAACUGCGUUUGUGACUGCAAGGCUAGAGUACGGCAGAGGGGGGUGGAAUUCCACGUGUAGCAGUGAAAUGCGUAGAGAUGUGGAGGAACACCAAUGGCGAAGGCAGCCCCCUGGGUCGAUACUGACGCUCAUGCACGAAAGCGUGGGUAGCAAACAGGAUUAGAUACCCUGGUAGUCCACGCCCUAAACGAUGUCAACUAGGUGUUGGGAGGGUAAAACCUUUUAGUACCGGAGCUAACGCGUGAAGUUGACCGCCUGGGGAGUACGGCCGCAAGGUUAAAACUCAAAGGAAUUGACGGGGACCCGCACAAGCGGUGGAUGAUGUGGAUUAAUUCGAUGCAACGCGAAAAACCUUACCUACCCUUGACAUGCCAAGAACUUUCCAGAGAUGGAUUGGUGCCCGAAAGGGAACUUGGACACAGGUGCUGCAUGGCUGUCGUCAGCUCGUGUCGUGAGAUGUUGGGCUAAGUCCCGCAACGAGCGCAACCCUUGUCGUUAAUUGCCAUCAUUUAGUUGGGCACUUUAACGAGACUGCCGGUGACAAACCGGAGGAAGGUGGGGAUGACGUCAAGUCCUCAUGGCCCUUAUGGGUAGGGCUUCACACGACAUACAAUGGUCGGUACAAAGGGUCGCCAAGCCGCGAGGUGGAGCCAAUCCCAGAAAGCCGAUCGUAGUCCGGAUCGCAGUCUGCAACUCGACUGCGUGAAGUCGGAAUCGCUAGUAAUCGUGGAUCAGAAUGUCACGGUGAAUACGUUCCCGGGUCUUGUACACACCGCCCGUCACACCAUGGGAGCGGGUUCCGCCAGAAGUAGGUAGCCUAACCGCAAGGAGGGCGCUUACCACGGCGGGGUUCGUGACUGGGGUGAAGUCGAAACAAGGUA
rnacentral:rRNA from 1 species